rnacentral:lncRNA from 1 species
CUGGGAAUCUUCGAUGCUGAUGUGAAACCUGUUGGGGAUGAUGCUAUCUCUGUGGAUGGAAAAGUCAUCAAGGUCGUCUCUAACCGGAACCCAGUUAACCUGCCAUGGAAGUAAGUAAUUUAAUUAAGAUAGCAGAGAGUGCAGAUGAAGUUGAAUGUGGAUAUUUAUUUAAAUGGUUGAAAAAUGUAAACAGGGAAAUGGGUAUUGACCUUGUGAUUGAAGGAACAGGAGUUUUUGUAGAUAGGGAAGGUGCAGGGAAGCACAUAGAAGCUGGAGCUAAGAAGGUUCUCAUCACUGCUCCUGGCAAAG